rnacentral:rRNA from 1 species
GAUGAACGCUAGCUACAGGCUUAACACAUGCAAGUCGAGGGGAAACGGCAUCGAAAGCUUGCUUUUGAUGGGCGUCGACCGGCGCACGGGUGAGUAACGCGUAUCCAACCUGCCCAUCACUUGGGAAUAACCUUGCGAAAGUAAGACUAAUGCCCAAUGACAUCCCACGAAGGCAUCCGAAUGGGAUUAAAGAUUUAUCGGUGAUGGAUGGGGAUGCGUCUGAUUAGCUUGUUGGCGGGGUGACGGCCCACCAAGGCAACGAUCAGUAGGGGUUCUGAGAGGAAGGUCCCCCACAUUGGAACUGAGACACGGUCCAAACUCCUACGGGAGGCAGCAGUGAGGAAUAGUAGUCAAUGGGCGAGAGCCUGAACCAGCCAAGUAGCGUGCAAGAUGACGGCCCUAUGGGUUGUAAACUGCUUUUAUAAGGGAAUAAAGUGGGUCACGUGUGACUUUUUGCAUGUACCUUAUGAAUAAGGACCGGCUAAUUCCGUG